rnacentral:rRNA from 1 species
AAAAUGUGAAGACCAUCAGGUGCGCUGGUCCUCUCCUGUUGCAAAACCAAACCAAAGGAAACCAAACCAAACCAGGAGCUGCUGCUUUGUUUGCCGUGGUUUUCCAUCCCCUGCAUCUUCCCAUCCCCUUCCCUUCCUUCGCUUGGGUUUUCCUUUCCUUUCCGGCCGGCGGCUCCCCUCCUUCCUCCUCCUCCUCCUCACCUCGCAGGCUCGCACUCGCACUCCCACCCUGCCUCCCUGCUUCCGCUUCCUACUCUACUCUACUGCAGUAGCCCACCAACCACGCCCCCAUCCAUCCCCCACCGGACCGGUGGGAAGGAAAGGGAAGGGAAAUCGGUAGUAGUAGGAGGAGGAGGAGAUGAGAAUCUCCUUUUCUCUUCUUCCCUUCUUCUUGUUGCUCUUUGGAUCCACCGCCCGCUAAUGCCGCCUAGCCGCCCCGAUUCCACCCAUCACCACCGCGCACGCGCACCAAGGCGCCGCCGCCGGCGGUAGAGCUCGUGCCGGAGAUUCGCCUGCCCUCCCUCCCGGCCUCUUCCUCCUCCGCCGCCUCCGCCUCCGCUUAAUAAGGGAUGUAAUUUGUGGCUGGACGGACGGACGGACGGACGCCGCAGGUCAGACCUAUUUCUUACUACGACACUAGUAUAAGUUGGUACUAGCUUUUAUUUUAUUUAUUUACUCGGAUUUCGUUCCUGAAUGAAUUCACCCGAGUAUGGUUAGAAAGAAAGAAUUUUGGUCAGAGGAUUUCUUCUUUCUCUUCUUAGAUCUU